AACUCUCAUUUAAAAAAAGAUAAGUAUAAAUUUUAUUCGUUGUUAUUAUCAGAAUUCCUUUACAGAUAAAUAGUUCCUCUUGGGCUUAAGUUGUUUAUUAACUAUUACUUUCACUGUCUCCCAUUUGUCUCUUAGAGUAAAGAGAUGAGAUGACACGAGGACAAACAAGACAAAGACCAGAGGAGACAAGCAGAGGAGAUGCCAUGCACUGUGAACCCCUUCAUUAAAAAAGAUAAAGAGGAGAGAAGGGAGGAGGCAGCGUGCCCUGUAAACUCUCAUUUAAAAAAAGAUAAGUAUAAAUUUUAUUCGUUGUUAUUAUCAGAAUUCCUUUACAGAUAAAUAGUUCCUCUUGGGCUUAAGUUGUUUAUUAACUAUUACUUUCACUGUCUCCCAUUUGUCUCUUAGAGUAAAGAAAUGAGAUGACACGAGGACAAACAAGACAAAGACCAGAGGAGACAAGCAGAGGAGAUGCCAUGCACUGUGAACCCCUUCAUUAAAAGAAAUAAAGAGGAGAGAAGGGAGGAGGCAGCAUGCCCUGUAAGCAGGCAGGCUGAGUGAACCCUCUGAUUUAAAAAG